CUGAACUCAGGGCCGAGAGGAGGAUGCAGUCAUGGAUGAUGUCAUAUUGUUGAUGUGAUAUUGACCAUGAGGUAAUAUUAGCGGUGGGACAUGGGAGCUGCCUGCAGCCAUUUUGCCACUGGACAGAGACCCCACCUGAGAACGGUACCAAUGCAAGCAGAAUGGGACCAAGAGAGGCAGAGAGAACAUCCCUUCCUUUAUUCCUUCUGCAUCUAUUGGUUAAGCCCCACUCUGUGCGGUGCCUGUUCCUGGCCUGGGGAACAGCAGUGACCAAGAUGAAGUCCCCAUCCUCAGGAGUCAUCGACAUUCUAGCAUAUAUGUAAACAGGAGCCAGCAGUCACCCCCUAGACCAAACCUGAGCUGGACUCUCUGCCACUGGCUCCUGCAGGCCCGAGGCAAUCAAUGUUGUUGGGUGAGCAAAUAGGAGAGUCUCCCAUUGUGUGGACAGGCCACAGCUCCUCGAGCCGGCCCCCUCAUGGGGAACACUUGAGUUGCUCCCCAUCUUUUGCUGUUGUAGUCGGUCAAUACCUCAUCCACGUGCCGGCUCAUACGCACAAAGUGGAGCAUCCGUGCACUACAUCAAGGGAGAAAUCAAGAUACAGAACCGUCUAUAGGCAUAUGUUAUGUUUUGCACAAGAAGGAGGGAAAAUCAGAAUAUGUCUUCAUCCUUGGUAUACUUCCAUAAAGAUACUCUGGAAGGACAGACAAAAACCUAACAACCUUACCAGCCUCUUGUGGUUGGUGGGGGCUGGGGACCUGGAUGACAGUGCAGAGUGGGAGAGAGACCUCCUCUUUCACCUUCUAGCCUUGUUUUGCUUUUAGAACCACGUGAUUGUAUUACUCGGUUUAAAACAACAACAGCGGAAAGUGUAAACAAGUGCAGCCGUGGUACGUAGAUGUGACCUAAAUCCUGAAGGUGGCAGUUGGUGGCUGAAUUUGGAACUGCUCCCUACUAUGGCCUUGGGGUGUCUCUUAGGCCCAGAUUCCUCCUUCACCACAGGAGCCAACAGGGCGCUGGGGAGAGAAUGGAGGUGACACCUGCGAAUUCGGACGCCCGCCCCGCGGUGUGCAUGAGAGAAGAGUCCAGAGGGGCGUGCCCGAGCUCUGGAACAGUCAAGGGACAGGCCACAUUGGCCCCAUGACAUCUUAUAGAUGUCACCUGUUCCUGCCAGUGCAGCCACGAUCAGCCCCCCACACGGGAAGGCAGCAGAGCAGCCCGAGCCUGUGUUCCUGGCACUCUGUGGAGGCUGAGCUGGGCACACAUCUUCAGGUCACCCCUCUGCAGCCCGACUGGGGGAGAGCGAGGAGCCGGUGGCUGGGGGAGGGCCGCGCGCCUAUUCUGUCUCCAACUGCCUUUGUUCGAGAAUAAACACGCUGAGGCUGUCUCCCCACCUGAAAGCCGCAUCUGCUGGAGAG
ensembl:lncRNA